rnacentral:rRNA from 1 species
AGCGAACGCUGGCGGCAGGCCUAACACAUGCAAGUCGAACGAAGCCUUCGGGCUUAGUGGCGGACGGGUGAGUAACACGUGGGAACGUACCUUUUGGUUCGGAACAACUCAGGGAAACUUGAGCUAAUACCGGAUGAGCCCUUAGGGGGAAAGAUUUAUCGCCGAAAGAGCGGCCCGCGUUAGAUUAGCUAGUUGGUGAGGUAAAGGCUCACCAAGGCAACGAUCUAUAGCUGGUCUGAGAGGAUGAUCAGCCACACUGGGACUGAGACACGGCCCAGACUCCUACGGGAGGCAGCAGUGGGGAAUCUUGCGCAAUGGGCGAAAGCCUGACGCAGCCAUGCCGCGUGAAUGAUGAAGGUCUUAGGAUUGUAAAAUUCUUUUACCAGGGACGAUAAUGACGGUACCUGGAGAAAAAGCCCCGGCUAACUUCGUGCCAGCCGCCGCGGUAA